UACGAAGGGUGCAAACGUUGCUCGGAAUUAUUGGGCGUAAAGAGCGUGUAGGCGGCUUGGUAGGUCCGCUGUGAAAACUCGAGGCUCAACCUCGAGAUGUCGGCGGAAACCACUUGGCUAGAGUCCGGAAGAGGAGAGUGGAAUUCCUGGUGUAGCGGUGAAAUGCGCAGAUAUCAGGAAGAACACCUAUGGCGAAGGCGGUUCUCUGGGACGGUACUGACGCUGAGACGCGAAAGCGUGGGGAGCGAACAGG
rnacentral:rRNA from 1 species